rnacentral:rRNA from 1 species
UAACACGUGAACAAACUGUCCUCACGUUCCGGAUAAUUGGCCGAAAGGCCUUGUAAUACGGGCGAGGGUCAUCUUGGGGCAUCUCAGGAUGAAGGAACGCGCAAGCGGCGCGAGGAGGUGUUCGCGGCCUAUCAGGUAGUUGGUGGGGUAAUGGCCUACCAAGCCGACGACGGGUAGCUGGUCUGAGAGGAUGGUCAGCCACAUUGGGACUGAGACACUGCCCAG